UACGAAGGGGGCUAGCGUUGUUCGGAAUUACUGGGCGUAAAGCGCACGUAGGCGGCUGUCUAAGUCGGGGGUGAAAGCCUUGGGCUCAACCCAAGAAUUGCCUUCGAUACUGGAUAUCUUGAGACCGGGAGAGGUGAGUGGAAUUCCGAGUGUAGAGGUGAAAUUCGUAGAUAUUCGGAAGAACACCAGUGGCGAAGGCGGCUCACUGGCCCGGUUCUGACGCUGAGGUGCGAAAGCGUGGGGAGCAAACAGG
rnacentral:rRNA from 1 species